rnacentral:rRNA from 1 species
GGUCCUGCGGAGGGAUCAUUACAGAGUUACUACUCCAAACCCAUUGUGAACCUUACCUAUGUUCUGUUGCCUCGGCGGCGUGGUCAGCGCCCCUCUGAAAAGAGGACGAUGCCCUCCCGCCGGCAGCACCAAACUCUUUGAAUUUUACAGCGGAUUACAGUUCUGAUUUGAAAACAAAAAAACAAGUUAAAACUUUCAACAACGGAUCUCUUGGUUCUGGCAUCGAUGAAGAACGCAGCGAAAUGCGAUAAGUAAUGUGAAUUGCAGAAUUCAGUGAAUCAUCGAAUCUUUGAACGCACAUUGCGCCCGGCAGUAAUCUGCCGGGCAUGCCUGUCCGAGCGUCAUUUCAACCCUCGAACCUCCGUUUCCUCAGGGAAGCUCAGGGUCGGUGUUGGGGCGCUACGGCGAGUCUUCGCGACCCUCCGUAGGCCCUGAAAUACAGUGGCGGUCCCGCCGCGGUUGCCUUCUGCGUAGUAAGUCUCUUUUGCAAGCUCGCAUUGGGUCCCGGCGGAGGCCUGCCGUCAAACCACCUAUAACUCCAGAUGGUUUGACCUCGGAUCAGGUAGGGUUACCCGCUGAACUUAAGCAUAUCAAAGUCCGGGAG